GACGAACGCUGGCUGCGUGCUUAACACAUGCAAGUCGAACGCUGAAGCCUGGUGCUUGCACCGGGUGGAUGAGUGGCGAACGGGUGAGUAACACGUGAGUAACCUGCCCCUGACUUCGGGAUAAGCCCGGGAAACUGGGUCUAAUACCGGAUACGACUGCCGGACGCAUGUCUGGUGGUGGAAAGUUUUUUCGGUUGGGGAUGGGCUCGCGGCCUAUCAGUUUGUUGGUGAGGUAAUGGCUCACCAAGACGACGACGGGUAGCCGGCCAGAGAGGGCGACCGGCCACACUGGGACUGAGACACGGCCCAGACUCCUACGGGAGGCAGCAGUGGGGAAUAUUGCACAAUGGGGGAAACCCUGAUGCAGCGACGCAGCGUGCGGGAUGACGGCCUUCGGGUUGUAAACCGCUUUCAGCAGGGAAGAAGCGCAAGUGACGGUACCUGCAGAAGAAGUACCGGCUAACUACGUGCCAGCAGCCGCGGUAAUACGUAGGGUACGAGCGUUGUCCGGAAUUAUUGGGCGUAAAGAGCUCGUAGGUGGUUGGUCACGUCUGCUGUGGAAACGCAACGCUUAACGUUGCGCGUGCAGUGGGUACGGGCUGACUAGAGUGCAGUAGGGGAGUCUGGAAUUCCUGGUGUAGCGGUGAAAUGCGCAGAUAUCAGGAGGAACACCGGUGGCGAAGGCGGGACUCUGGGCUGUAACUGACACUGAGGAGCGAAAGCAUGGGGAGCGAACAGGAUUAGAUACCCUGGUAGUCCAUGCCGUAAACGUUGGGCACUAGGUGUGGGGGGCAUUCCACGUUCUCCGCGCCGUAGCUAACGCAUUAAGUGCCCCGCCUGGGGAGUACGGUCGCAAGGCUAAAACUCAAAGGAAUUGACGGGGGCCCGCACAAGCGGCGGAGCAUGCGGAUUAAUUCGAUGCAACGCGAAGAACCUUACCAAGGCUUGACAUACACCGGACCGUCCUGGAAACAGGUCUUCUUCUUUGAAGCUGGUGUACAGGUGGUGCAUGGUUGUCGUCAGCUCGUGUCGUGAGAUGUUGGGUUAAGUCCCGCAACGAGCGCAACCCUCGUUCUAUGUUGCCAGCACGUGAUGGUGGGAACUCAUAGGAGACUGCCGGGGUCAACUCGGAGGAAGGUGGGGAUGACGUCAAAUCAUCAUGCCCUUUAUGUCUUGGGCUUCACGCAUGCUACAAUGGCUGGUACAGAGAGAGGCGAACCCGUGAGGGCAAGCGAAUCCCUUAAAGCCAGUCUCAGUUCGGAUCGUAGUCUGCAAUUCGACUACGUGAAGUCGGAGUCGCUAGUAAUCGCAGACCAGCAACGCUGCGGUGAAUACGUUCCCGGGCCU
rnacentral:rRNA from 1 species